rnacentral:tRNA from 1 species
GCCGAGGUAGCUAAGCCCGGUUUAAGGCGGUAGCCUCGAGAGCUACUGGUGCUCGUCACCACGGGAGUUCGAAUCUCCCCCUCGGCGCCA